AAGUCGUAACAAGGUCUCCGUUGGUGAACCAGCGGAGGGAUCAUUACCGAGUUAUCAACUCCCAAACCCAAUGUGAACAUACCCAUUGUUGCUUCGGCGGAACGCCCCGGCGCCCUCGCGGCCCGGACCCAGGCGCCCGCCGGAGACCCCAAACUCUUGUUUCCCCAGCGGCAUCUCCUCUGAGUGGUACAAACAAUGAAUAAAAACUUUCAACAACGGAUCUCUUGGUUCUG
rnacentral:misc_RNA from 1 species